UACGGGGGGGCAAGGCGUUGUUCGGAAUUACUGGGCGUAAAGGGGAGCGUAGGCGGACAUUUUAAGUCAGAGGUGAAAUCCCGGAGCUUCAACUUCGGAACUGCCUUUGAUACUGGGUGUCUUGAGUGUGAGAGAGGUAUGUGGAACUCCGGAGUGUAGAGGUGAAAUUCGUAGAUAAUUCGGAAGAACACCAGUGGCGAAGGCGGACAUACUGGCUCAUUACCUGACGCUGAGGCUCGAAAGCGUGGGGAGCAAACAGG
rnacentral:rRNA from 1 species